UGCAUCAAAUGUCAUUGUAUCUCAUGGUUUUCUAUUUUUCUCCCUCUGUUGGAAUUUUUUUCCAUUCGUCUGGGCAUUUCAUAUGUGAGGUGUUAGCUAGGAAGUCAUAAGAUUUCUGUUAAUCUUCCUUUGAAAAAAAAAAUAAAGCCGGAAACAGGAAGCUGCAGGAGAGGAAGAGUGGUUAUAGAGGUACGCCAGCCAAUGAGAAGCCAACGUGAGAGCAGCAAAGCCAAGAAAUGAAGCGAGGAACAAAACAUCAUAGAGCUGAUGCUCUUCAAGCUACUGUAGCAUUCUCUGGCCGUUGGAGGGCUGAACCCUCUGAUUUGGAGGAGGCUGAAGGAGGUGGAGAGCCGCAGUGAGAACCGGGCUGAGAGCUUGAGUUACUGGAGCUGCUGGAGGAACUGGAGCCUCCGCUGCCACUGUUACUGGUUGGUCUGGGAACCAGUUUCUCCACUCGCUCCCACAG